UGUGGCUUUGGAGCUGUGAGGAGGAGGUUCUGUGAGAAAGGGGAGGAUGAGUUGGAGGGGUUUAAUUGGCUCUGUUGGGCUUCAAUUACAGGGGGAGGGGUGACGUUAUCAGCGGCAAGGGCUUGUGGGGUCACAGAGAGGCUCGCGGAGGAAAAGAUAAGGGCAGCUAGAGCAGCUUGUGAAUUGUGAGCAUUUAAGAUGCUUCUCUUGAAAAGGAAUUGUAGCGGAGUAGAUGAUUUGGUUGUUUUGGGGGUUGGGGGUGAGACAAGAACAUUCCUUCCGAUCAAGGCGCUGGUGCCCAAGGCCAUUGGAACUGGAAUCAAUCACUUUGCUCUAGAUUUUCGAUUUUGAAACACACCCUCACCGUUUCAUACAAAGCGUCUAUAUAUGCCCUACUUGCUGGAUUCUAUGCCAUAGAUUUUUCCUGGUCUUCUCUCGCGUGUACGUGGUUUAUCCACAGCUCUAUGUUAAUAAACCCAAAAACUAAAUCAAAAUAUCAAGCCUGGUUUGCUUUUAUAGGAAUACGGCUAUUCCUCCUAAGCCAUUUAAAUUUCUUUUAUACUUAAUAUGUUUUUUAAAAAAUUAAUUUUUUUUCUUUUUUACUUCUUCUUUUCCGUUCUUUCUUUUUUUUUCUUUUCUUAAUAUAACUUACCAAUUAACAAUCUAUAUACAAAUUGUUAAAAAUAUAUUUUAUAAAAUAAUUUAAAAUUAAUGGUUCAUGUAAGUUUAUAUUUGUGAGUAUCAGAUUAUUAACAUAAUGUUUUAACAAACUGAAUUAAUAAAUUAAUUAUAUUAAAAAAAUAAUUAAUAUCAUUAUAUAUAACAUUAAAUUUUUUAAUGUAAAUUUAAUACAGAUAUAAGUUUAUAUAAAAAAAUUUAUAAUAAUUAAUCCACAUGAUAUUUAUGAAUUGUCAAUCCGUAAGUCUAUAAUUCUUUUAUGGAUCCAUAUGAAACUAUAGAUUGACCAUCGGAUGGUUAUGGUUAUAUGUAAGGUUAUUUUUGGUGCAGGAAGAAAAUUGCAGGACUAAUUCUAAACUAAUAGAUUUUGUGUGUCGGGCUUUACUAGACUAGGCCUACUCUUAUAACAGAUUUUGGACCUAUGCUUCCUGCACCUCACAAUUUUUACCUGCACUCCAUAUUAAUUUUAAAAUAUUCAAGUCCAAAAAUACCCUUAAUUAACCCUAAUGUCUCAUUUUCAUGCAAUCCGUUUCACUGCAACGGCAACUUCCGUUCCCAGACCACCACCAACAAUCGUGCUCGUCGUAGAGGCGUUUGUUUCCCAUUUGUGGUACCACAUCAUUUGUUUUCCCUUUGCCAUAGAGGCACGUUUUUCUUGUGAUGUUGUGUUCUUAAUGGAUUACCAAAUCUGGAAAAAUAAAUUCGUACGAAAAACAUGAACAAUUGUUAUCAGUGAAAGAAAACACUUUAUUUUUUUUAUAAUUAUAAUUUUUUUAAAAGAAAGUUAACACGAACGGUUGUUUCAGAAAAAAAAAAAACACACACACUUUUCAUAUUGAAUAGCAGUACUCAAUCUAGAAUGCAUCAACUAAUGCCGAAUCCCCCAGUUAGAGUGCAAUCAAAUUUUCAUUUUUCAAUUCGUCUGCGCAUGAAAGCAUGAUGGAAGGCUUUUGAAAGCAUGAUCAAUAGAUCCAAAAAAUAUUCCAAAUGAGCAAGAAUUUCAAAUCAAAAGGUGAAAGAAAGAUCUAUUGGACGAUAGAUGAUGCUUAUUGUUUCUGGUUAGGUGUUUCAGCUUUUAUAACCAAGUUUAUGCCUUAUCUUGACAUUUUAGAUUUUACCACAUUUAAUGUUCAAUACAACAAUGGGUCUAGUCCAAUUCCAAGAUUCAUUCAUGGGUUUUUCUUAUCUAAGUUAUAUUGUCAUAUUAAUGCCUUGGAACUAGGAAGCAUGAGUGGCACACCUUCAGCGAGGGACGUAGGCAAAUGAGAGGUGGAAUUAGGAGGUUCAGAGUUUAGGAGAGUUGGGAUGCGAUAAAUACUUACAAAAAAAAAAAGAGGGCAAUUCGGGGAUUGUGAAAAUUUAAAAAUUAAAAGAAGGUGCGGGAAGCCAAGAGAAGCAACAACCUAAAUUUUGUACAAGACUUCAACUUUGGGCCUUUCUCUAGGCUUUUUGUCUUGUUUCUUCUUGAUGUGUAAUUCUAGAUCCCAAAAAGAGAGUUUCUUCCGGCAUCUCCCAAAUUUUUUGUGCCACCUCCUUUACAUUUAAAAAAAGUUAGUUCAGAAUGUAAUUUGUAAAAGUGGUGGCGUGGGAAAUUUGCGAGUGCUGAAAGAAAGACUUAAAAAAAUACCUGCACACAAAUCUUCCAUCUUGGAGACUUGGGUCUCUUGGCUGCUUUUCGUAUAUUGCAUUGGUUCUUUACUAGUAUUUAGAAGACCAAAAAAUCAAUUAAACAUAAAUAUGAUUAAUAAUUUAUAGAUUUUUUAUACAAAAAAUCACUUAUAAUUAGUAAAAAAGAUGUAGAUAUUAAGCUUAAUCAUAUUAGUUUUACUUUAUUUUCUUUUUUAAAAAUUUAAAUCUUAUUAUUUAUGUAUUAACCUUUAAAAGGAAAAGAUAAUUUUUAUAAUUAGUAUUUUUAAAUAACAUAUGAUGAUAAUUCUUUUAGUAUCUUACUUAUUUUUAAUUAAAAUUACUAACAAAAAGACAUAUGAUAUUUAAUUUAUUUGGACAGUUUUUAGCCAUAAAAAAUUUUAAUUUAAAAUUUGAAAUAGAUAGUGACCAUUUUUUAAGUCAUCGAAAAUUUCAUUUUAAAAUUUUUAACUUCCGUAUAUUAUUACUUAAUUGACAAUAAAUAUUCACAUGAAAACUUUUUUUUAUCCCAGACCCAACGCAAAAAAAAAGUUAUCUAGAACUCAAAGCAAAAUUCAAAAUUUUAUCAAGAAUCUGAAAGUUGUAUAAAUAAUAUAAUUUAAAUAGGUGAUUAGGUGAGAGAAAGACAAUAGUAUACAAAAAAAAAAAAAUAGUCGUCGAUAAUUUCUUAGGUACAUUCUUUUCCCUACCCAAAUCUAUGAUACUUAUAUAUGAUAACUAAAUAUAAAGUAUGAUAAUGUGUUUUUUUAUUAGGAAAAAACUUCUUAAUCAAUAUUCAAUAGAAUAAACUUGACUUGAGGUACAAAUGUCUCAAAACAAAGAAACGAAUAAUUACAAAAUGUUGUUCCUAUAGACUAAAAGAUGUCACCCCUGUCUAUUAUUAUUAUUAUUACAACUUGUCAUCUUUCCAUAACCAAACAAAAAAAAAAUUGUAGGAUUUUAUGUGAAAGUAUUAUAAUAAUUGCAAUUUAUAAAAUUAUAGUCAAUUAAAACAGUACUCCACACACCCACCUAAAGUAGAUCAUCAAAGAAUUUUCACUGAACCCAAAGAGUAUGAUUAAGUGAGAUAACUUAUCCUAUCAAUGACCAGCUGAAAAUGGGUUGAUCAAUGGGUCGGAUCAACCCAUUCUUUUGUGCAAUGUAUUGAAAUAAUUAAUUCAUCCGUUUUAGUGUAAAAUGGCAUUUAACUUACGGUAAAAUCCUUCAUGUAAAAAAACUUACAUUAAAUUAAAAAAAAGAAAGAAAGAAAAACACAAGAUAAAUUAAAAAAAGGACAAAAAAACUAAUAAAAAAUAUAAGAAAGUUAGAAAAUAAAAAAAAAUCCCACUUAAAUAAAGACAAUUUUAAUUAAUAUUAAAAUUUAAUUUUUGUUGCAUGCCAAUUAAUUAAAACUGUACAUGCUAAGAUUGGGAGAUAAAGAAAUAAAGUCCAUUUUAUGUUUUAAAAUUAUGCGGGUCAAUCCAAAUGGAUUAAACUAAUAUUUUUCCUAAUUCAUCUAUAUCUUGUAUGUUGUGAAAGUAAGAAUGUAAAUUAUAUAUUUUAAUAUCCUGAUAAAAAAAAUAUUUUUAAUAUUUAUGAUUGAAUAAUGUUUCAUGAGCUCAUUAACUAAUUUGAUUCACUUUUAUUAGUGAAGCUAUGAUGGAAUUUCGCUUCGUAAUAAUAAAAUAUUAAAAAAGAGAAUGACAAAUAGGAUAUACUAUGAAUCAUUUUUUCUAAAACAAACGAAGUAUCUUUAUACCGAAGCAAAGACAAGAAAACAAAAGUGAUGGCACGAGAAAGUUUGUCAAGAAAAUUAAAGAAAGCUCCAAAGCAACUUUGAUAAAAGAAGCCACUUCAAACAUGCAUGCAACUAUAAGACCCAACUACUUGGUCUCAAAGGUUUGCUCAUUAUGGCAAACCAUUGAAUGUGUAGAAAAACUAGAGUAGCCACAUGUUUCAUGCACGGAAAGCUCAAGACACAUAAAGGGGACAGAAGCAAGUAGGAAUGAGCAAAGUUAUUGAGCCUUUGAAGAAAUUUGGUAAUAAGGCUUUAUCUAAUUUUAUCAGCACAUCAAAAUAUGUGAUUUAAAUAAAUAAAUAAAUAUAAUUACGACCAUAAUGUGAUUAAUGUCCGACUCAUCACACAGCUUACGUUGGGAAACUCGGAAAUUUAACAAUUUGUAAAAAAAAAAAUACUGACUAGCGCCUUAAGAAAUUUAACAUAAAAAUAUUUUAUUAAAAGAUAAAAAAUUAUACCGACCAUGAUUAUUUUUACAUUUUUUAUAAUUUCUAUAGUAAAUAUUUUUUAUUUUCUUAAUAAGUACUCUAAAAUACUUAGUUAACAAGAUCAAAAAAGAAAAUGCUAACCAUAGAGUAUGUAAAUUAUGUAAUUCUCAGGCCUAUUUUUUUUUAUAUACCUUUCGUUAUACACCUACUUAUUUGAUGGGAAGAAAAUAAUGGAGUACUAUUAGUUUUUCGGAUUGUGUUAUUUUGGCUUUUUAGAUUUCAAUUGCCAUAUAUAAAUGGGUCUUUUGGGUUUUCUAUAAUUUAUAAUCGGAUACUCACUUUAUUUAAUUUGAUAUUAUAUUUAACAUUUACUUACAUUUUUUAAGAAUACAUUAUAUGUUAAAUAUAAUUUAUUUAAUGAAGUAAGUAAUUUUAAAAUUUUGUAAAAAAACUUUUAUCUACUUCAUAUGAAUUCUUAGUUUAAUGUCUGAAUUAAUGAAACUUAAUAUGCACAAAAGAUUAUUGAACUCCUAGAUCAUAUAUACUAAGAUCCCUUCUCUUCUUAUAUGCGUGUAGGGGGCAUAUCUAGUGAGAUUAUUUUUUCUUGUGAAAAUGAGAAAAAUUAAUAUUUAUAAUUACAUAUUAUUACAAAUGAUCAAAAUUAAAACAUAUAAAUCCUACUUAUAAGUUUGUAAAAAUAGCCCAAUGGUUUGGUUUAUUGGGUUUGACUUAUCCCUAUCAAUCUAAUUUAUUUUAUUUAAAGUUGAUUUUAGAAAAAGUGAUUCAAUCUAUCACAGAUUUUUAGUUAAAAGGAUUUGUCUAUCGAUCCACCUAAAAUGAAAUAAAAAAUAGUUGUUUUUCUAACAGAAAAUUCAACAAAAAAAAUCAGUUUUUUUUUAAAAAAAUUAAUUCAAAUAAAUUAUAAAAAUAUAGUUAAAUUAAAUUUUCACAAUCCAUGCACAACAACUAGACAUAUUUUCACAAGCUAAAAGUCUAGAACUAUAAUAACAAAAAUUUUUAAAUUAGUCUUAAACAAAACACUAAAUAAAAUAAUGGUAAACAAUAUUACAAAAUACUAAAAACGUAUUUUAGAUAAAUUUUACUCUAUUUUUAAUUAAAUGUACAAAAUAUUUAAAAGUCUUAAAAAAAUAUUACAAAAUACUAAUAAGUUUUCUUUUAGGUUAAUUAAAUAGAUCAAUCCGACACAUCAUAGAUUGAACCCGAAUAAAUCGGAUCAUAAAUGGAAAUUAUGUUUUAUUAUCAAUUACAUUUUUUUCCUUUUUUGGCCUCGUCAGUGAUACACCAAAUUGUUUCGUAAGUUUGAGUGAUUAUGACAGCUCUAAUAUUCACCCAAAAAUGAAUUAAGGAAUGUUUUUAUUCUUAUUCCAUUCUUGUCUAAAUCUAAUCAUGGAGAUGAUAUUAUUGGUUGUUGUGCAUAGACAUGACAAUGGGAUGGGGACGGGUAUUGUCUCCCCAAUUCUCGACCCCGACUCUCCAACAUGGCCCCAUACUUGUAUCCGAUAUUCGACGGGUUAAAAUUUAUUAUCUCGUAUCCAUCGGGUAUCUCAGAUCUUGUCCCGUACCUGAUUCAAAUUAGAAAAAUAUUUUUUUGUAAAGAAAAUAUUAAAAAUUUGAUUUAAAAAAAUAAAUUUAUUGUUAAAUAUUUAUUUUUAACUACUUAUAUAUCAAUAAAUUAAUUAUAACGCAUGUGUCUACAAAAAUCGUUAAGAAAAUAAUAUUAAAUUAUGUAAAAAUUCUAAAAUAAAAUUAACAAGUAAUAAAAAUUCUAGAUCUUUUGAUUAAAUUAUGUAAGAAUUCUAAAAUUUUUAAAUGGCGUGACAGGUCCGGAUUCGGGGUCGGAACAGAUGUAGUAAUCUCAUACCCAUACCCUACUUUUGGUUAUGAGGAAAAACCCGAGUCCAUAUCCGAUCAACUCGAAUAUUAUCCAUCAAAAUCGAAACAAUUGGAAUAUCUCCUUGGCCAACCCACUACUUGGACCGAAGCGACUGCUGUUUUCUAAUUGAAAGAUUGGUUAAUCUACUCACAACAACUCACAGUAUACUGUGAGUUGUCCGAAAAUCAAAUAUGCAAAUUGGACAUGCACGGGUACUUUUAUUUUAUAACAAUCCAUUCUUCUAUCUUAGUAUCUUUUACAUUUAAUUGCAUCUUUUCCUCCACUUCCCGUCCAUACUUCCCAUUUCUUAUAUGAAAAAUAAUUAUUUUUAGGACAUUAAUUAAGAACCUUAAAAGAUAAAAAAAAUUAUUGAGAUAUGUAAAU
rnacentral:lncRNA from 1 species